AGGGUGAACCUGCGGAGGGAUCAUUACCGAGUUUACAACUCCCAAACCCAAUGUGAACGUUACCAAACUGUUGCCUCGGCGGGAUCUCUGCCCCGGGUGCGUCGCAGCCCCGGACCAAGGCGCCCGCCGGAGGACCAACCAAAACUCUUUUUGUAUACCCCCUCGCGGGUUUUUUAUAAUCUGAGCCUUCUCGGCGCCUCUCGUAGGCGUUUCGAAAAUGAAUCAAAACUUUCAACAACGGAUCUCUUGGUUCUGGCAUCGAUGAAGAACGCAGCGAAAUGCGAUAAGUAAUGUGAAUUGCAGAAUUCAGUGAAUCAUCGAAUCUUUGAACGCACAUUGCGCCCGCCAGUAUUCUGGCGGGCAUGCCUGUCCGAGCGUCAUUUCAACCCUCGAACCCCUCCGGGGGGUCGGCGUUGGGGAUCGGCCCUGCCUCUUGGCGGUGGCCGUCUCCGAAAUACAGUGGCGGUCUCGCCGCAGCCUCUCCUGCGCAGUAGUUUGCACACUCGCAUCGGGAGCGCGGCGCGUCCACAGCCGUUAAACACCCAACUUCUGAAAUGUUGACCUCGGAUCAGGUAGGAAUACCCGCUGAACUUAAGCAUAUCAAUAANCGGGAGG
rnacentral:rRNA from 1 species